rnacentral:rRNA from 1 species
AACGAACGCUGGCGGCAUGCCUAACACAUGCAAGUCGAACGAGACCUUCGGGUCUAGUGGCGCACGGGUGCGUAACGCGUGGGAACCUGCCCUUAGGUUCGGAAUAACUCCCCGAAAGGGGUGCUAAUACCGGAUAAUGUCUUCGGACCAAAGAUUUAUCGCCUUUGGAUGGGCCCGCGUUGGAUUAGCUAGUUGGUAGGGUAAAAGCCUGCCAAGGCGACGUUCCAUAGCUGGUCUGAGAGGAUGAUCAGCCACACUGGGACUGAGACACGGCCCAGACUCCUACGGGAGGCAGCAGUGGGGAAUAUUGGACAAUGGGCGAAAGCCUGAUCCAGCAAUGCCGCGUGAGUGAUGAAGGCCUUAGGGUUGUAAAGCUCUUUUACCCGGGAUGAUAAUGACAGUACCGGGAGAAUAAGCACCGGCUAACUCCGUG